rnacentral:rRNA from 1 species
CUGGCGGCGUGCUUAACACAUGCAAGUCGAAACGCGAAAGGGGACUUCGGUCCUGAGUAAAGUGGCGCACGGGUGAGUAACGCGUAGAUAACCUGUCUUCAUGUCUGGAAUAAUACGCCGAAAGGGGUACUAAUACCGGAUAUUCUUGCUUUUCAUAAGUUAUGCAAGCAAAGGUGGCCUCUGCAUAUGCUACUGCAUGAAGAGGGGUCUGCGUACCAUUAGCUAGUAGGUGGGGUAAUGGCCUACCUAGGCGACGAUGGUUAGCGGGUCUGAGAGGAUGAUCCGCCACACUGGCACUGGAACACGGGCCAGACUCCUACGGGAGGCAGCAGUGAGGAAUAUUGCGCAAUGGGGGAAACCCUGACGCAGCGACGCCGCGUGAGUGAGGAAAAGGCCUUCGGGUCGUAAAGCUCUGUCAAGAGGAAAGAAGUGUACAAUGGCUAAUACCUGUUGUAUUUGACGGUACCUCUAAAGGAAGCACCGGCUAACUCCGUGCCAGCAGCUGC